rnacentral:rRNA from 1 species
AUUGAACGCUGGCGGCAGGCCUAACACAUGCAAGUCAGGGGUAACAUAGAAAAGCUUGCUUUUCUGAUGACGACCGGCGCACGGGUGCGUAACGCGUAUACAACCUACCUUUUAGCGGGGAAUAGCCCAGGGAAACUUGGAUUAAUGCCCCAUAGUAUAUGGACUUCUCCUGAAGUUUAUAUUAAACAUUUAUGGCUAUUAGAUGGGUAUGCGUCCUAUUAGUUAGUUGGUAAGGUAACGGCUUACCAAGGCAGCGAUAGGUAGGGGUCCUGAGAGGGAGAUCCCCACACUGGUACUGAGACACGGACCAGACUCCUACGGGAGGCAGCAGUGAGGAAUAUUGGACAAGUGGGCGAGAGCCUGAUCCAGCCAUGCCGCGUGCAGGAAGACUGCCCUAUGGGUUGUAAACUGCUUUUACAGAGGAAGAACCACCCCCACGUGUGGGGGUUUGACGGUACUCUGCGAAUAAGGAUCGGCUAACUCCGUG